CUCUUUCUUUUGUAUUAA
rnacentral:snRNA from 1 species